CUGUGAGGUGAGUAGGGGGACUGUGAGGUGGGUAGGGGGGCAGUAUAGUGGGUAGGGGAGCUGUGAGGUGGGUAGGGGGGCUCUAUAGUGGGUAGGUGGGCUGUAUAGUGGGUAGGGGAACUGUGAGGUGAAUAGGGUGGCUGUAUAGUGGGUAGGGGCUGUGAGGUUGGUAGGGGGGCUGUAUAGUGGGUAGGGGGGCUGUAUAGUGGGUAGGGGAGCUGUGAGGUGGGUAGGGGGGCUGUAUUGUGGGUAGGGG